AUGGCCAUGGCCACCUUCGCUGCCACUCCCGCGCUCCUCUCCCCCCCGCCCCCCUACACCACGGCCCCUCCACCCCGCGGGCGCCCGCCCCGCCCGCCUCUCCGUCUCGGCCUCCGGCUCCCGCGCCGCCGCCCCGUCACCACCACCACUCCGGCCGCAGCCCACGCCGCGAGCUCCCUCUCGUCCGCCCGCGGCGACCCGCGCGAGGCGGAGGCGGCGGUGGCGGAACUGCUGCGGGACAACGGCGCGUCGCCGGAGGACGCGGCCGCCAUCGCGGCGCGCGCGCCGGGGUACGCCGCCAUGCUGGCCGACGGCGUCAGGGAGCUCGACGAGCUCGGGCUCUGGGCGUCCUGGAGCGCCGGGGCGGGCGCGCGCGCCGGCGCCGAGAUGGGCGCGCUCGGGUUCGGCAGGAAGGUGUACUUCAUGGGGCGGAGCCGGCGCGACGGCGCCGUCGUCCCGCUCGUCGAGAGCCUCGGCGUGCGCCUCUCCUCCGCCAAGCUCAUCGCGCCCUACGUCGCCGCCGAGGGUCUCCCGGUGCUCAUCCGCAGGGUUAAGUUCUUCAAGGAAAUGCUGUUUUCAAGCAGUGGCUAUGAAACUCUAAUCGGAUGGAAUGCUAAGCGCAUGAUAGCGCACUUUUCAAUACCCGCAGAUGAGGCACUCCAGAGUACGCUGUCAUUUUUCGAAAAGAUGGAGGCCAGACAUGGUGGUCUGAGCAUGUUGGCACAUGGGGAUGUGUCAUUUCCCUAUCUCAUCAAAUCAUUUCCAAUGCUUCUUCUCUGCUCAGAGGACAAACAUCUUAAGGCAUUAAUUGAUUUCCUUGAACACGUUGGAGUUCCCAAGCCGAGGAUUCCAUCAGUUCUGCUGGCAUUUCCUCCUAUUAUUCUUUCUGAUGUCGAAAAGGAUAUCAAGCCAAGGAUUCAUGCAUGGGAGAAGGCUGGCAUAGAACAAGAAUAUAUUGGUCGGAUGUUGUUGAAGUAUCCAUGGAUUCUUUCAGCAAGUGUGAUAGAAAACUACAAGCAGACGCUUUUGUUCUUCAACAGAAGAAAGAUUUCCAGUGCAUUUCUUGGUACCGCUGUCAAAAGUUGGCCUCACAUUCUGGGUUGUUCAACAACAAGAAUGAACUCAAUUCUGGUGCUGUUUGAUGAUCUGGGCAUCAGUAAGAAAAUGUUAGUGCCUGUUCUUACAUCAAGUCCACAGUUGCUGCUGAGAAAACCUAAUGAGUUUUUGCAGAUUGUUUCCUUUUCCAAAGAUAUGGGUUUCGAUAAGAAAGCAGUGGGAAAGAUUGUCUGUCGUUCUCCAGAAAUUUUUGCUUCAGAUUUGGAGAAUACCCUCAAAAAGAAAAUCGACUUUCUUAUUGACUUUGGUAUUUCCGAGCGUCACCUUCCCCGUAUCAUUAAGAAGUACCCAGAGCUUUUAUUGUUGGACAUAAAUCGCACACUGCUCCCCAGAAUGAAUUACUUUCUGGGGAAGGGCUUGUCUAAGAAAGAUGUCUGCUCAAUGAUCUCUAGAUUCUCCCCACUUCUGGGGUACAGUAUUGAGCAUGUUCUGAAACCAAAGCUUGAUUUUCUGUUACAAACCAUGAAGAAACCACUUAAAGCGGUUGUGGAAUAUCCAAGGUACUUCAGCUAUUCUCUGGAGGGGAGGAUAAAGCCACGGUUUUGGAUAAUCAAGAGUAGACAUAUAGACUGCAGUCUGACUGACAUGUUUGGCAAAAACAAUGAACUUUUUGCUGAAGAGUACCUGGGAAUAGAAACAUGACCUGUGACACUUUCUCCACAAUCAAUCAAAGGUGGUUAAUUUCUGGGUUUCGAUCAUGAGCAGACUCUGUUCCUGUGCCUGAUUAUACAGCUUUAUGAUUCCAUCUGGAUCUGGGGAGGCUGUUUUACAGAUGGGAAGCCACUUGUCGAGUCUUCAACAUUCAGAAGGUCUUAUAUGAUAAAAUCUGGAUUGCAACUGAAAAAAGAAUAAGUAUGCUCUCUAACUUUGCAUGAAUAGUUGAGUACCAGCACGGAUUAUUGGAUGGCCACGGCAAUUUUCAGACCUAGUCCGUUGAGAUAUCCCCUUGAGACCAGAUUGAGGAACUGGAGGCCAACCCUCGAGACCAUUGACGACAGAGACCAACUGCAGAAAUAUUACCUCUGAGAGCUGAUCCCCAUUCUUUGUCUGUUUCUGUGCAUAUGUGAAGCUGCACCUCCAUGUAUCAGCAAGCUAAGAGCGCCCGCGUCAACAGCAAAGCCCAACUUCCAUUGUGCUUGAAACUGCCUGCUGCUAUGUGUUUUGGCACGGGGAGAGUCCUUGGGGAGAAGAAGCUUCUCACAUCCGGUGCUGCUCCAACUGACAGGAGCAGGAACACCGCUCUGUUGCUGCAUUGGAUUGAUACGCGCUCCUCUUCGAGGCGUAAGAAGCCAGAAGAGGCGAAGAUUGCGAGGUCGAUUACCCUGAGGAUGCCUUUAAAAGAAAAAUCAGUGUCACCCUUUUGUACUUACUGUAUACAUGAACGUGCACUGUAAUUGGAUUUUGUUAUAGGUAAGUGCUGUAGAUUAGAUUUCACUGAGUUUUUGCUUGCUGUACUCCGUACCAUAUUAAUUGUCGCUCAAACGGAUAUGUAUUAGUUAUCAUAGCUUGUGCAUCACCAAACUUUCGUUGAGU
rnacentral:rRNA from 1 species